UUCAAUUAGUACUUGUACAGCUCCAGAAGACGCGAUCACUAGCUUGUUCGCGCUGCAAGCAGAGAGAAUCAACAUAGCAGCUAAUGUGUGCUCAAUCAGCAGCGGGUUUUGGCUCUGAAGCAAUUGUAAAAGCAUCGGCAAGGCUGAGCAGUGCAAAGAGAGCAGCUUCAAUGGCUUCAUAGUCCUGUGAUUGAAGCAUGGACACUAAAGGAACAAUGACUCCUCUGUCAGCCAAAUACUGCCUCUGUUUACUCUUGAGUCUGCCAAGUUCAGUCGCAGCCCGAAUCUGCGAUUCUUUGUCACCAUUGAAAAGAUUUUCCAUCACCAAAUCUUCCAUGAGAGAGUGGUGGAGGAAUAAGAAGGAAUACUUGGACUGCAAACAAAGAUGAUCAUUCCAGAAAAGAGAAAAGAAUAUUGAGGGAGGGGGACCAUUGAUUGGCUUUUCUGUGCUUUAUGAACCAUUAUGCGGCGGAGUUUUCUUGAAGGAAAUGCUUCUCAAGUUUUGAUGAUACAAAUUUUUGCAUGCAUGGUUUUGUUCAUAAGCUUGUCUCCAAUGGUAGCUUAAUGGAAGCACUUUUUUUUUUCCUGGGCCUUUUUGAAAGGUAAAGUCCUGCGGGCCUUGA